rnacentral:rRNA from 1 species
ACCAAACUGUUGCCUCGGCGGGGUCACGCCCCGGGUGCGUCGCAGCCCCGGAACCAGGCGCCCGCCGGAGGGACCAACCAAACUCUUUUCUGUAGUCCCCUCGCGGACGUUAUUUCUUACAGCUCUGAGCAAAAAUUCAAAAUGAAUCAAAACUUUCAACAACGGAUCUCUUGGUUCUGGCAUCGAUGAAGAACGCAGCGAAAUGCGAUAAGUAAUGUGAAUUGCAGAAUUCAGUGAAUCAUCGAAUCUUUGAACGCACAUUGCGCCCGCCAGUAUUCUGGCGGGCAUGCCUGUCCGAGCGUCAUUUCAACCCUCGAACCCCUCCGGGGGGUCGGCGUUGGGGACCUCGGGAGCCCCUAAGACGGGAUCCCGGCCCCGAAAUACAGUGGCGGUCUCGCCGCAGCCUCUCCUGCGCAGUAGUUUGCACAACUCGCACCGGGAGCGCGGCGCGUCCACGUCCGUAAAACACCCAACUUCUGAAAUGUUGACCUCGGAUCAGGUAGGAAUACCCGCUGAACUUAAGCAUAUCAAUAAGCGGAGG